rnacentral:tRNA from 1 species
GGGUAUAGCUCAGUUGGUAGAGUCGCGGUCUCCAAAACCGUUGGUCGUGGGUUCAAGUCCUUCUGCCC